UACGUAGGGGACGAGCGUUGUCCGGAGUUACUGGGCGUAAAGCGCACGCAGGCGGUCUGCUAAGUUUGGAGUGACAGUUGGUGGCUUAACUGCCAAAGUGCUUCGAAAACUGACAGACUUGAGGGCUUCAGAGGGACACGGAAUUCCGGGUGGAGUGGUGAAAUGCGUAGAGAUCCGGAGGAACACCAAAGGCGAAGGCAGUGUUCUGGGGAGUACCUGACGCUCAGGUGCGAAAGCCAGGGGAGCGAACGGGG
rnacentral:rRNA from 1 species